AUUGAACGCUGGCGGCAUGCCUUACACAUGCAAGUCGAACGGCAGCACGGGUGCUUGCACCUGGUGGCGAGUGGCGAACGGGUGAGUAAUACAUCGGAACAUGUCCUGUAGUGGGGGAUAGCCCGGCGAAAGCCGGAUUAAUACCGCAUACGAUCUACGGAUGAAAGCGGGGGACCUUCGGGCCUCGCGCUAUAGGGUUGGCCGAUGGCUGAUUAGCUAGUUGGUGGGGUAAAGGCCUACCAAGGCGACGAUCAGUAGCUGGUCUGAGAGGACGACCAGCCACACUGGGACUGAGACACGGCCCAGACUCCUACGGGAGGCAGCAGUGGGGAAUUUUGGACAAUGGGCGAAAGCCUGAUCCAGCAAUGCCGCGUGUGUGAAGAAGGCCUUCGGGUUGUAAAGCACUUUUGUCCAGAAAGAAAUCCUUGGCCCUAAUACGGUCGGGGGAUGACGGUACCGGAAGAAUAAGCACCGGCUAACUACGUG
rnacentral:rRNA from 1 species